GAUGAACGCUAGCUACAGGCUUAACACAUGCAAGUCGAGGGGAAACGCCAUCGAAAGCUUGCUUUUGAUGGGCGUCGACCGGCGCACGGGUGAGUAACGCGUAUCCAACCUGCCCAUCACUUGGGAAUAACCUUGCGAAAGUAAGACUAAUACCCAAUGACAUCCCACGAAGACAUCUGAAUGGGAUUAAAGAUUUAUCGGUGAUGGAUGGGGAUGCGUCUGAUUAGCUUGUUGGCGGGGUAACGGCCCACCAAGGCAACGAUCAGUAGGGGUUCUGAGAGGAAGGUCCCCCACAUUGGAACUGAGACACGGUCCAAACUCCUACGGGAGGCAGCAGUGAGGAAUAGUGGUCAAUGGGCGAGAGCCUGAACCAGCCAAGUAGCGUGCAGGAUGACGGCCCUAUGGGUUGUAAACUGCUUUUAUAAGGGAAUAAAGUGGGUCUCGUGAGACUUUUUGCAUGUACCUUAUGAAUAAGGACCGGCUAAUUCCGUG
rnacentral:rRNA from 1 species